rnacentral:rRNA from 1 species
UACGUAGGAGGCAAGCGUUGUCCGGAAUUACUGGGCGUAAAGCGCGUGUAGGUGGUGGGACAAGUCUGCUGUGAAAGCGCCUGGCUUAACCGGGCGAGGUCGGCGGAAACUGUUCGACUCGAGGACGGUAGAGGGGGGUGGAAUUCCCGGUGUAGUGGUGAAAUGCGUAGAGAUCGGGAGGAACACCUGUGGCGAAGGCGGCCCCCUGGGCCGGCCCCUGACACUGAGACGCGAAGGCGUGGGGAGCGAACGGG